GGGCAGGUGGCUGAGCAGCAAAGGCACUAGACUGUAAAUCUAGCGGGGUUUCCCCUUCAUAGGUGCAAGUCCUAUCCUGCCCA
rnacentral:tRNA from 2 species